AAUCCCUUCUGACACGAGUUUUCAGGUAUUUUUCCCUGCUUAAGUAUUCGCAUUAAAACAUUACACCGGUUCGGUAUCGCUAGUCUUCGUUGACUUUCUUCAAACGAAAUGCACCCCAAAGUUGCAGAGCUGUUGGAAGGUAAAUCAGAGGAAGGGAGAAUUCAAGCCAUUGUGUUUUCAUUUGGUUGCCUUCUAACAAGGCCUACGGCUAAUUCACCACCUGAUGCACCCAUGAAAGAUGAACGGAGAGCAAAGGAGAAGUCGAGAAGCGAACCGAAAUAUUCCUUUGAGGAACUGAGCGACGAGGAAGAUGGUUCAGAAUGAGGAACAAACGACCAGUGUUCACUCCAGGAAAUCGAUUGUUUCUCUGAUGAUUUAUUUUGUACCACAAGCGACAAGGAAUUGAGAUCGCUCAUGAAUGAUUUUUCAUUCAACGCGUGUUAUGUUGGGAGUACAGCUCAUGCAAAUAAUUCCUUCACAAAAACAGUGGUGAAACCAUUCAACGUCGAGUCACUCAACAAGCACUGAAUGCAAUGGAUUGUCAAGUUUGUUUGUCUCUGUUUCUUAGUUAAAUCACUCGUUAAACUACGGAUUGUGAAGUUUGUUUUUUUACAUCGACCAAUUUUCUUCUUCAUCUACUCUGUUAGAUUUUUUUAUUGUGACCAAUACGUAUUUCAAACUGAGCGAUCAACAUCAGCUUUUCCUGAUACCGUAGUUUGUACUUCCGUUGAGUGAAUGUGUACCAAAACAUGUCGAAACUGAAAUAGAGUUUUCACUCUUCACGUUUUCGUUAGAAUAAUACGUUUGCGACAUUAGGUUGAACAUUGCUCAUUUGCAGUGAUAUUGAGACAGCCACCCGUCUUUAACUCUGAAAACUGUAUAUUUUUGUAAUUAGAACGGAUCGACAUGCUGUAUUAAUUAAUCUGUGUUGUCCGCUGUUUUGUAAUGCCACUUUCUGAACUUGUAAAAUAAAAAAAAUCGUUCAUGACGCCUUGUUA